GACGAACGCUGGCGGCGUGCUUAACACAUGCAAGUCGAACAGAAAGGCCCUGCUUGCAGGGUACUCGAGUGGCGAACGGGUGAGUAACACGUGGGUGAUCUGCCCUGCACUUCGGGAUAAGCUUGGGAAACUGGGUCUAAUACCGGAUAGGAGCCAUCUUUAGUGUGGUGGUUGGAAAGUUUUUUCGGUGUAGGAUGAGCUCGCGGCCUAUCAGCUUGUUGGUGGGGUAAUGGCCUACCAAGGCGGCGACGGGUAGCCGGCCUGAGAGGGUGUACGGCCACAUUGGGACUGAGAUACGGCCCAGACUCCUACGGGAGGCAGCAGUGGGGAAUAUUGCACAAUGGGCGCAAGCCUGAUGCAGCGACGCCGCGUGGGGGAUGAAGGCCUUCGGGUUGUAAACUCCUUUCGCUAGGGACGAAGCUUUUUGUGACGGGACCUAGAUAAGAAGCACCGGCUAACUACGU
rnacentral:rRNA from 1 species